UGAGUAACACGUAUCCAACCUGCCGAUAACUCGGGGAUAGCCUUUCGAAAGAAAGAUUAAUACCCGAUAGCAUAGUAUUUCCGCAUGGUUUCACUAUUAAAGAAUUUCGGUUAUCGAUGGGGAUGCGUUCCAUUAGAUAGUUGGCGGGGUAACGGCCCACCAAGUCAACGAUGGAUAGGGGUUCUGAGAGGAAGGUCCCCCACAUUGGAACUGAGACACGGUCCAAACUCCUACGGGAGGCAGCAGUGAGGAAUAUUGGUCAAUGGACGAGAGUCUGAACCAGCCAAGUAGCGUGAAGGAUGACUGCCCUAUGGGUUGUAAACUUCUUUUAUACGGGAAUAAAGUGGAGUAUGCAUACUCCUUUGUAUGUACCGUAUGAAUAAGGAUCGGCUAACUCCGUGCCAGCAGCCGCGGUAAUACGGAGGAUCCGAGCGUUAUCCGGAUUUAUUGGGUUUAAAGGGAGCGUAGGCGGGUGCUUAAGUCAGUUGUGAAAGUUUGCGGCUCAACCGUAAAAUUGCAGUUGAUACUGGGCGCCUUGAGUGCAGCAUAGGUAGGCGGAAUUCGUGGUGUAGCGGUGAAAUGCUUAGAUAUCACGAAGAACUCCGAUUGCGAAGGCAGCUUACUGGACUGUAACUGACGCUGAUGCUCGAAAGUGUGGGUAUCAAACAGGAUUAGAUACCCUGGUAGUCCACACAGUAAACGAUGAAUACUCGCUGUUGGCGAUACACAGUCAGCGGCCAAGCGAAAGCAUUAAGUAUUCCACCUGGGGAGUACGC
rnacentral:rRNA from 1 species